rnacentral:rRNA from 1 species
GCACAAGCGGUGGAGCAUGUUGGUUUAAUUCGAAGCAACGCGAAGAACCUUACCAGGUCUUGACAUCCGAUGCUUAUUUCUAGAGGUAGAAAGUUACUUCGGUACAUCGGUGACAGGUGGUGCAUGGUUGUCGUCAGCUCGUGUCGUGAGAUGUUGGGUUAAGUCCCGCAACGAGCGCAACCCCUAUUGUUGGUUGCCAUCAUUCAGUUGGGCACUCUAGCGAGACUGCCGGUAAUAAACCGGAGGAAGGUGGGAUGACGUCAAAUCAUCAUGCCCCUUAUGACCUGGGCUACACACGUGCUACAAUGGUUGGUACAACGAGUUGCGAGUCGGUGACGGCGAGCUAAUCUCUUAAAGCCAAUCUCAGUUCGGAUUGUAGGCUGCAACUCGCCUACAUGAAGUCGGAAUCGCUAGUAAUCGCGGAUCAGCACGCCGCGGUGAAUACGUUCCCGGGCCUU